rnacentral:rRNA from 1 species
AUGCCGGAAUGAGUAGCGAGAGAGAGGUGAGAAUCCUCUCGGCCGAAUAUCCAAGGUUUCCAGAGUAAAGCUGAUCUGCUCUGGGUAAGUCGGGACCUAAGGAGAGGUCGAAAGACGUAUCCGAUGGACAACAGGUUUAGAUUCCUGUGCCACAUAUGAACAGAACUGUGGGGACGCAUGUGGAGAGCACGAGCCGGGAAUGGAAAUACCGGUACAAGCGGAGAAGGAGUCUGGUUGGCAAAUCCGCCAGGCAAUCCGAAGACGUGAUGUGGAGCGAAUUAGAGUAGCGAAGCGUGUGAGCCAUGUGCCGAGAAAAGCCGCUAUUGUUUCAUGUGUGCCCGUACCGUAAACCGACACAGGUGGAUGAGGAGAGAAUCCUAAGGCCGGCGGAAGAAGCAUUGUUAAGGAACUCGGCAAAAUGACCCCGUAACUUCGGGAGAAGGGGUGCCUGCUAACGCAGGCCGCAGAGAAUAGGCUCAAGCAACUGUUUAGCAAAAACACAGGUCUAUGCGAAACCGAAAGGUGAAGUAUAUGGGCUGACGCCUGCCCGGUGCUGGAAGGUUAAGAGGAGAGGUUAGCGCAAGCGAAGCUUUGAAUUUAAGCCCCAGUAAACGGCGGCCGUAACAAUAACGGUCCUAAGGUAGCGAAAUUCCUUGUCGGGUAAGUUCCGACCCGCACGAAAGGCGUAAUGAUUUGAGCACUGUCUCGACAAUGCAUCCGGUGAAAUUGAAGUACCAGUGAAGAUGCUGGUUACCCGCGCCAGGACGGAAAGACCCCAUGGAGCUUUACUCCAGUUUGGUACUGGGAUUCGGUACUGCAUGUACAGGAUAGGUGGGAGACUAAGAACUUGGGACGCCAGUUUCAAGGGAGUCGCUGUUGGGAUACCACCCUUGCAGUAUUGGAUUUCUAACCAGCCGCCGUGAUCCGGCGGUGGGACAAUGCCAGGCGGGGAGUUUGACUGGGGCGGUCGCCUCCGAAAGGGUAUCGGAGGCGCUCAAAGGUUCCCUCAGAAUGGUUGGAAACCAUUUGAAGAGUGCAAAGGCAGAAGGGAGCUUGACUGCGACACCGACGGGUGGAGCAGGUAGGAAACUAGGACUUAGUGAUCCGGUGGCAUAAAGUGGGAUUGCCAUCGCUCAACGGAUAAAAGCUACCCUGGGAUAACAGGCUUAUCACUCCCAAGAGUUCACAUCGACGGAGUGGUUUGGCACCUCGAUGUCGGCUCAUCGCAUCCUGGGGCUGUAGCAGGUCCCAAGGGUUUGGCUGUUCGCCCAUUAAAGCGGUACGCGAGCUGGGUUCAGAACGUCGUGAGACAGUUCGGUCCCUACCCGGCGCGGGCGGAGGAUAUUUGAGAGGAGCUGUCCUUAGUACGAGAGGACCGGGAUGGACGGACCACUGGUGUAUCUGCUGUCGACCAACGGCAUGGCAGAGUAGCCAAGUCCGGAAGGGAUAAACGCUGAAGGCAUCUAAGCGUGAAGCCCCCCUCAAGAUGAGAUAUCCCUCACAUAAGUGAGUAAGAUCCCUUGAAGACUACAAAGUAGAUAGGGCAGAGGUGGAAGCACGGUAACGUGUGGAGCUGACUGUUACUAAUCGAUCGAGGGCUUGACU